GAUGAACGCUGGCGGCGUGCCUAAUACAUGCAAGUCGAGCGAACGGACGAGAAGCUUGCUUCUCUGAUGUUAGCGGCGGACGGGUGAGUAACACGUGGAUAACCUACCUAUAAGACUGGGAUAACUUCGGGAAACCGGAGCUAAUACCGGAUAAUAUUUUGCACCGCGUGGGUCAAUAGUAAAAGACGGUCUUGCUGUCACUUCUAGAUGGAUCCGCGCUGCAUUAGCUAGUUGGUAAGUUAACGGCUUACCAAGGCAACGAUGCAUAGCCGACCUGAUAGGGUGGUAGGCCGCCCGGGAGCGGGGACACGGACCAGACGACUAAGGGAGGCAGCAGUAGGGAACCGUCGGCAAUGGGCGAAAGCCUGACGGAGCAACGCGGCGUGAGUGACGAAGGUCCUCGGAUCGUAAAACUCUGUUAUGAGGGAAGAACAUAUGUGUAAGGAACUGUGCACAUAUUGACGGUACCUAAUCAGAAAGCCACGGCUAACUACGUG
rnacentral:rRNA from 1 species